rnacentral:rRNA from 1 species
UGGGGAAUCUUCCGCAAUGGACGAAAGUCUGACGGAGCAACGCCGCGUGAGUGAAGAAGGUUUUCGGAUCGUAAAAACUCUGUCUUUUGGGGCGAACGUGAGUAUGGUGAACAAUCAUAGUCAGUGACGGUACCAAAGGAGGAAGCCACGGCUAACUACGUGCCAGCAGCCGCGGUAAUACGUAGGUGGCAAGCGUUGUCCGGAAUUAUUGGGCGUAAAGAGCGCGUAGGCGGGAUAGUCAGUCUGUUGUAAAGUGCGGGGCUCAACCCCGUGAUCGCAAUGGAAACAGCUAUUCUUGAGUGCAGGAGAGGAAAGUGGAAUUCCCAGUGUAGCGGUGAAAUGCGUAGAUAUUGGGAGGAACACCAGUGGCGAAGGCGACUUUCUGGACUGUGUCUGACGCUGAGGCGCGAAAGCCAGGGGAGCGAACGGGAUUAGAUACCCCGGUAGUCCUGGCCGUAAACGAUGGGUACUAGGUGUGGGAGGUAUCGACCCCUUCCGUGCCGGAGUUAACGCAAUAAGUACCCCGCCUGGGGAGUACGGUCGCAAGACUGAAACUU